UGUGUUGUUGGGUAGGGGAGCGUUCUGUAAGCCUGUGAAGGUGUGCUGUGAGGCAUGCUGGAGGUAUCAGAAGUGCGAAUGCUGACAUAAGUAACGAUAAAGCGGGUGAAAAGCCCGCUCGCCGGAAGACCAAGGGUUCCUGUCCAACGUUAAUCGGGGCAGGGUGAGUCGACCCCUAAGGCGAGGCCGAAAGGCGUAGUCGAUGGGAAACAGGUUAAUAUUCCUGUACUUGGUGUUACUGCGAAGGGGGGACGGAGAAGGCUAUGUUGGCCGGGCGACGGUUGUCCCGGUUUAAGCGUGUAGGCUGGUUUUCCAGGCAAAUCCGGAAAAUCAAGGCUGAGGCGUGAUGACGAGGCACUACGGUGCUGAAGCAACAAAUGCCCUGCUUCCAGGAAAAGCCUCUAAGCAUCAGGUAACAUCAAAUCGUACCCCAAACCGACACAGGUGGUCAGGUAGAGAAUACCAAGGCGCUUGAGAGAACUCGGGUGAAGGAACUAGGCAAAAUGGUGCCGUAACUUCGGGAGAAGGCACGCUGAUAUGUAGGUGAAGUCCCUCGCGGAUGGAGCUGAAAUCAGUCGAAGAUACCAGCUGGCUGCAACUGUUUAUUAAAAACACAGCACUGUGCAAACACGAAAGUGGACGUAUACGGUGUGACGCCUGCCCGGUGC
rnacentral:rRNA from 1 species